rnacentral:lncRNA from 1 species
CCCUAUCUUUUCUUUUCCCCGUUUGAUAUACUCUUCACGUCUUUCUUGAUCUAUAAUAGCAAAUUUAACUCGUUUAAUAUUCACAUUUAUUAAAAUAAUCCACCACCCAACUUUUUGAAAAUUACAAUUUUGCCCCCAAACUUUUGCAUAAUUACACUUUUGUCCCCAAGCUCGGAAAUUAAACUUCAUCACUUAUUCUUAAGUUUUAUAACAUGCUGAACAUUUUUCCCUUCUAUGGAAACAUCAAAUUCCCACUCCAACACAUACUUUUGAAUAUUAAUUAUUUUUACCGAUUAUGUCUAUUUACCCGUUUUCGCUUAAAAUUGCUUAGCAAAAGUUGUUUAACAUAAUCUCUAGCUUCAUAUUCCACCAUAAAACAGCAAAAUAAACACAUUUCACCUAUGGAUAUUUUUCCAAAUAUGAACCCUAACAUGAAUUAAUGGUAGAAUAAGCUAAACCAAGUUACCGGGACUCCAAAAAUACGAAGAACAUUAAAAACGGGGCUUAGAAUCACUUACUAUGGAGCUUGAAAGCUUAAAAACCCUAAAUAUGGCUUCCCCCUUGCUGAUUUCGUUCACCAUGAAGAAGAUGAGCAUAUUUUGCCAUCUUUUUCCCAUUUAAUUCUAUUUAAUAACCAAAUGACUAAAAUGCCCCCAUUUAAAAAAAAUCUAUUUCACCCAUUUCUUAUGUCUAUUUUUGUCCAUCAACUAACUAAUGGUCUAAUUACCACAUAAAGACCUCCAAUUUAAAAUUUCAUAACAAUUAGACACCUCUAAGAUGUAGAACUCAACUUUUGCACUAUUUACAAUUUAGUCCUUUUGACUAAAUUGAGUGCCCAAACGUCGAAAUUUUCAAACGAAAUUUUUACGAAAAUUUUCCGUGAAAUUGUAGAUCAUAAAAAUAUAAUAAUAACCAUAUUUUCCCUCGUCGGAUUUGUGGUCCCGAAACCACUAUUCCGACUAGGCCCAGAAUCGGGCUGUUACAUAUACACUGAGUAAAAGAACUAAUUACCUCUAUCACCAAAUAAAUUCUCCCAUUCACAGCAUGCUCAUAAUUGUAGACAUAACUCCCAUCAUGAAAAUGCUUAUCUAAAAUGGCAAGGGCCUUAUUUUUUUGACUCUAGAUUCAAGCAAACAAGACAAUUCCACAUCUAAUUUUUUAGUUCUCUGUACAACAAAAUUUUGUUUAAGAGGAAUAUUUAGUUCUCUGUACUACUAAUAACAUCCUGAAAAUCACUCAUAUUAGCAGUACUAGAUCCAUUGAAACAUGAACUCUCUUCAGGAAGAAAAAUAACAUUAUAAUCACCUCCAAGCAUCCAAGGAGAAUCCCCAACUUGAUUCUUCAAACUGUCAAGGUAAGACCAUAGAGCGUUUCUUUUAACACCAUCAUUACUAGCAUAGAUGAUCGAAAGAAAAAUAAUAUUAUUCUGAACUUGCAAUUUAUAAGUUAUACACUGAGUAAAAGAACUAAUUACCUCUAUCACCAAAUAAAUUCUCCCAUUCAUAGCAUGCUCAUAAUUGUAGACAUAACUCCCAUCAUGAAAAUGCUUAUCUAAAAUGGCAAGGGCCUUAUUUUUUCGACUCUAGAUUCAAGCAAACAAGACAAUUCCACAUCUAAUUUUUUAGUUCUCUGUACAACAGAAUUUUGUUUAAGAGGAAUAUUAAACCCUCUAACAUUCCAAAAAAUAAGAAUCAUGUAGGAAAGGAUGAAUAAGUACCACAAUUAGCAGGCGACCCUACUAGAUUCUUCCUUUUGCCUUUUAACCAAAUGUCAUUUCUUCUUGGAUUUCAUAGCUUUCAUGAGAUUAGAAACUCCUUGUGAAGCCACUCGAACCUUCUUCGGGUAAGAAACCUGUCUCCCAUCACCAUUCUCAUUGUUAACAAAAUCACUACUACCAGGCACCUCAUCAAUCUUAGAAGACAAAACUUCAAUUUUUUUUACUUGAUCCAACAAAUCCAAACUGACUCUUAGCACCAGACACAUCACCAGCAGAAUCAUCAACAUGUAUAGCCUUGUCUUUACUACGAGCAAUCUCAUCCUCAGCAAUAGUCUCUAAAGAGCUACAAGCAACAACUUUUAAAUCACCAAAAAGAUUAGAGUCUUCUUUAGGCAGCCAAACUUUCUCCUUAUCCCUAAAAAGAUAAUUCUUAUCAAGAUGCCCAAAAGAAUGACAUGAGAAAUAGUGAGGAGGAAUCCAAGACUCUUGAACUCCCAUGAUUCAAUACAACAUUAAUAAAUAGAGGAAAAACCAGAUUUGCAUCAAUCUCUACACAUACCUUUACACAAGCAAGUCAAUUCUGAGAUAUAAUUAUGCUAUCCAUAUAUAGAAGUGAUCCAAGAGCACUCGUUAUGUAACUCAAAUCCUUUUAAGUAACCAACUCCAGAGGAACACUAUCACAUAACAGAUCUAGAAACAGUAAAAGAACAUAAAAGAAGAAGAAAAAGAAAAAGAUCGAGAAAGAAGAAGAAGAGAGUACUGAAGAAUUCUGAUUUCAAAUUUCAUAAUUAUUUUUUUAUUAGUUACUGGUAUUUAAGGAAACCAAAUAACAGACUAACAAAUAACAGUAACAAUAGCCUAAACCACAUCGUUUCAAUCAACAGUGUUUCCUGUAAAAUGAAUCAUUUAAGCUAAUGCUAAUCUAUUGGUCAAAACACACUGUAUAGCUAGAACAACAACAAGAAUUAAAACACAGUGUUCCAAAAAGAAGAAGUAACAACAAUAACAAAAAUAUGAAAAUAACCUUUGGAGCUGUUCCAUAACAAAUACCCCUCCCCUGAAGCAGGAUCCUUGUCCUCAAGGUUCAAAAGCAAGAAAUUGAAGUUAAAGAUUGUGCAAAUUCUCCCAAGUUGAAUCCCCAGGAAAUGUGUCAGCCCACUCGACGAGAACCUCCACAACAGCAUGGUUACCUUGCUUGACCAAGUGUCUAUCCAAUACUCAAAUCGGCGUCUUGAGAAGAGCUCCAUCAGACCCCAUUGGUGGCAAAUUAAAGGCACUCACCGCAGAGCCAAUAUGCUUCUUCAAUUGAGAGACAUGAAAGAUAGAAUGGAUGCGAGCAGAAGAUAGUAGUAAUAGCUUGUAAGCAACCUGUCCUACACAAGCCUCCACUGGAAUGGGACCAAAAUACCUGGGUGACAAUUUUUGGUACUUGAACUUACAUAAAGAGUGUUGUCGAUAUGGUUGUAACUUCAAAUAUACCAAAUCCCCCACCUGAAAUUCUCAUUCCGAUCGCCUUUUGUCACCCAUUUGUUUCAUCUGAUCCUAAGCUCGAGUAAGAUGGAAUUUUAAAAAUUUGCACAUGACUUCUCGGUAGUGCAAAGUGAAGUCUACUGUAGCCACUUGAGAAGCAUCAGUCAGGUAAGGGAGAUGAAUAGGAGGACCUUGCCCAUAGAGAGCUUCAUAAGAGGUAGUCUGAAUGGCAGAAUGGUAAGUGGUAUUGUACCACCACUCCGCCAAAGGUAGCCAAGACGCCCAAGCAGAGGGCUUUUCACUAGUCAUGCAUCGCAAAUAACUCUCCAAACAUUUGUUAAACGUUUCUGUCUGACCAUCAAUUUGGGGAUGGUAGGCAGUGGACAUAUUCAGUUAGGUGCCCAAGUGCCGAAACAGCUCUUAGCAAAAAUUGCUUAAAAAAAUUCUAUCCCUAUCAAACACAAUAGAUUCAAGCAUCCCAUGAAGCUUAUAAAUCUGACUUAGAUACUCUUGAGCUACUAUUAAGACAGUGAAAGGAUGGGCUAAAGUAACAAAGUGACCAUACUUGGUCAAUCGAUCAAUCACUACAAUAAUGGCAAAUUUACCAUGUGAGAGAGGCAGACCCUCAAUAAAAUUCAUACUAAUGGCAGUCCAGGCUCGAUCUGGUAUGGGUAAAGGUUGCAAAAACCCUGGUGAAGCAGAAUUAUCAGUUUUGCAUCGCUGGCAAACAACACACUCACAAACCCAUCGCUUAACAUCUUUAGAAAGGCCCUUCCAGUAUAGCAACCCAGAGAUCUUGUGCCUAGUAGCAUCGAAGCCGGAAUAACCCCCAAGGAACUAUAAUGAAAAAGACCAAAUAUGUGUCUUCUAAGCUGAACAUCAUUCCCCACCACAAUCUUUUCCAGUUUGCGAAGGAAUGUGCCAUGCCAAGAAUACUUGGGAUGCAACUGUGGUUAUACUUAAACAUCCUCACACAACUAGUGUAGCUUCUUAUUUGUCUCAUAUAUAGCAAAAAUGCGAUCCUAUACCUCAGACCAAGAAGAGUCAAAACUCCCUUCACAUUGGAAGAAUUGGUGUUUAUGUUCAUGAGGUUUUCUUGACAAAGCAUUUGCUACUGUAUUCUGAGCUCCCUUUCUAUAUGAAAUCGAAUAAUCGUAACCUAGCAUCUUAGCAACCCACUUCUGCUGGUAAGGUGUAAUUGCUUGCUGCUCGGAUAAAAACUUCAAGCUCUGGUGAUCGAUUUUUAUUAAGAAAUGCCUUCACACAAGAUAAAUAUGCCAUUUCUUGACUGCUAAAAGCACUAUUAGUAUUCCUUUGUCAUAGAUGGACAAAGCUUGAUACUUGACUCCCAAGGAUUUGUUGAAAUAUACCACUGGCCUCCAUUUCUACUGUAGAACUGCCCCAACCCCUUGGCCACCGGCAUCCGUUUCAACACAAAAAGUCUCUUAAAAAUUUGGCAAGGCUAAAACUGGAACCUGACAAACAGCUUCUUUGAGCUGAUCAAAUGUUGUCCGUUCCAACACUAUUCAUUGCCAAGUAACAUCUUUUUUAAUAAAGUGGUGAGGGGAUUAGCUAGUAAUCCAUACCCCUUGAUGAACCGCUUGUAAUAUCUGGACAAUCUAAGGAAGCCUUACAACUCAUUGACAGACUUUGGAGGAGACAAUAAAAAAACACCUGCCACCUUAGUUUUAUCCAUACUGACAACCCCUUGAGAAAUAACAUGCCCAAGAUACUCCACCUGAGUAGCUUCAAAAAUACACCUAGAUCUCUUAGCAUAAAGCUAAUUAGACCUCAAUACUUGUAGCACCUCUUGCAAAUGAAUCAAAUGAUCAGUCCACUUCAGGGAGUAGGCGAGUAUAUCAUCAAAAAAAUAAGAACCGAUCUCCUAAAAACUGAUCUAAAGACUGAAUUCAUCAAUGAUUGGAAGCUAGAAGUAGCAUUGGUCAAGCCAAAUGGCAUGACCAAAAAUUCAUAAUGGCCAGCAUGAGUUUUAAAAGCUAUCUUGUGCACAUCUUUCUCUCACAUUUGAAUCUGAUGAUAACUCGAAUGCAAAUCCAAUUUAGAGAAAAAGUUUGCUUGUCCUAGUUCAUCAAAAAUUUCCUCAAUAACAGGUAUAGGAAACCUGUCUUUGAUGGUCAGUUGGUUAAGUUGUCUAUAGUUAAUACACAGGAGAUGCAAAAGGGCUGUUGCUAUCUCGAAUUAUCCCAACUUGUAACAUUUCUUGUAUCAGUUUCUCGAUUUCAGUAUUCUGUACUGUAGGGUAUCUAUAAAGUUGCAUAUUAACUACCUUAUAUUCAUCAAUCAAGGGAAUCUUGUGAUCUUGUAAUCGAGGAGGAGGUAGGCCUGUGGGAGUCUGAAAUAUAUCUUCAAACUCAUUAAGGAGGGCUUGCAAAUCUGGUGGCAAUUGAACUGGCAGCAUCUUGAGGGCAGUCUGAUAACAAGAAGUCAAUAACAUAGGGUAUGGACCAUUACCUACCAGACUUAAACAUUUGGAUAGUUGACUACUAGGAACAAUGUGUAAUGAACCUGGCACUAUGCCUUAGAGAAUGCAACUUUGCCCCAUAUGAUUAAACUGCAUAGUCAGAUUGGAGAAAUUCCAUUCAAUAGGACCAAGAGAUAAUAACCAGUGAAUGCCAAGCACCAAAUCAAAUCCCUUCACUGAUAUUAUUAAGAAAUUAGUAGUGAAACUAUAACCCUGUGCUUCCCAAGAAACUGAUCUACAUAAACAUUGAGUAGAUAAUCGAACCCCAUUUGCCACCAUCACUCUCAAUGUACUCCUCGAUUCCACUGCCAAAUUCAAUCUUUUAGCCACGUUAAAAUCUAUAAAAUUAUGUGUGCUGCCUGAUUCCACUAAUACAACCACCUUAGUUUGACCAAUUAUAGCUGAAAAUCUCAUAGUAUUAUGUCCCUGCAAUCUUUGGAGAGCAUGCAAUGAUAACACAGGAGUAGGAAUUUCUAGAACUUGAUCUACUAGAUCCAAUUGCUCAGAAUAAUCUUGAGACUCUUCAGAAGUUGGACUCUUCAUGUCAAAAUCCUGUUCCCAUAAUGGCUCACUAAUAAGCUGAUACAAUUGAGACUUGGAACAUUUAUGACCUGGUGAGUACUUUGAGCCACACCAGAAACAGAGGCCCUUCUUCCUUCUAUCCUCCAACACUGCUUAAGAUAAAGACUUUGGGGGAGUUAUUUGUCCUGAAUUACUACUUGUCGUUCCCCCUACUAUUGCUGAGCUCUCAAUUCCUUGAUGCAUUUUAGAGAUAGGGAAUAAAGGUCUAAAAGAACUAACUUCACAACCAGCAAUUAACCCUUUCCUUAUUGGUCCUAACACAAUAUUCUCGACCUACCUAGCCAAAUUAUAACCCUCCACCAAUGUUUGAGGCUUAAAUAACCGAAGGUACUGACCUAUCUCAGGUUUCAAAUUACUAAUAAAUAUGCUUAGUGCAUAGGUCUCUGGAAAAUUUAAUUGAUUCAACAAGCUCAGAAAUCCAUCAUGGAACUGAUCAAUAGAUCCGUGUUACUUAAGAGUUACCAACUCAGCCAUGGGAUCAAAGAGAGAAUCAAAUCCAAAACGUUCCUUUAGUCCCCUAGCAUAUACCUCCCAAGACAACUAGUGCAACCCUCCAUGUCUGUGCAUAAAAAAGUGAUGCCAGUCUAAUGUAUUUCCCUCUAGAUGUAACAUAACUACCCAAACCUUUAGCCUCAAAAUAUUGUUCUAACUUAGACCACCACCCUCUAAAAUUUCCACCAUCAAAGUGAGGACAGUCUACUCGAAAAGAAGUAUUCACAGUUUCCAAACUCCCUCCUCGCGAAGACACACCCGAAUGUCCUAGAUCUGGCAUAGGAGACACUACUAAAUGUUCCUUUGCUGGAAAAUUAGGAGAAAAGCCUAAGAUACCUUUUCCUUUGCUAGACAUCAAACUAGUAACUGUAACAGGAGGAUUUUGUCCAAAAUAUUGUUCAAACAAAGAAUAGAGCUCAGAACGAAGUUGAGAUCGUACCUUUGAACGAACCUCAGAUUUAAUUCCUUCCUAAAAAUCCUUCAAACGUGCGUCAAUCCUUACAUCUAACUGUGUGAAUUCGACUUGUAGUUGAGUAAGCUCACCUUGCAUCAUUCCCAAUUAUUUUUGGUCACACCCUCCGCGACAAUGAGAAUCAACAAAGUUCUGAUACCUUUGUCACGUAACGGAUCUGGAAACAGUAAAAGAACAGAAAAGAAAAAGAAAAGGAAAAAGAUCGAGAGAGAAGAAGAAGAGAGUACUGAAGAAUUUUGAUUUUAAAUUUCAUAACUAUUUUUC